GAUGGAGGUCAGUCAGCACAGCAAGUAUUUUUGUGAGUUCUGUGGCAAGUAUGCCGUGAAGAGGAAGGCUGUUGGUAUUUGGGGCUGCAAAGAUUGUGGUAAAGUCAAAGCAGGGGGUGCCUAUACGCUCAACACUGCAAGUGCUGUCACCGUAAGGAGCACCAUUCGAAGGCUAAGGGAGCAGACAGAGAGCUAGACACUGGAAUCUGAAUGUUUUAUGCAAGUUGAAUGCUUGAUUAUGCUUUGCUUAUAUGUACUCAUGUGUCAACUCAAAUUGCUUACAUCUGGAUUCUUUCAAGCAAAUUCUAAAUCUGGUUAUUAUGGACAAAAUAGUUCUGAUUGACACAAAUUAUAGAACCUGC
rnacentral:misc_RNA from 1 species